rnacentral:tRNA from 1 species
UGCCAGGUCGUCUAGUGGUAGGACACAUGCCUCUGGAGCAUGGUACCUAGGUUCGAAUCCUAGCCUGGCAG